AGGGUUCGAUUCUGGCUCAGGAUGAACGCUAGCGAUAGGCCUAACACAUGCAAGUCGAGGGGCAUCACAUGAAGUAGCAAUACGGAUGGUGGCGACCGGCGCACGGGUGAGUAACACGUAUGCAACCUGCCUUCAACAAGGGGAUAACCCGUUGAAAGACGGACUAAUACCCUAUAACACAGGGGCCCCGCAUGGGGAUAUUUGUUAAAGAUUAAUCGGUUGAAGAUGGGCAUGCGUUCCAUUAGCUAGUUGGUGGGGUAAUGGCCCACCAAGGCAACGAUGGAUAGGGGAACUGAGAGGUUUAUCCCCCACACUGGUACUGAGACACGGACCAGACUCCUACGGGAGGCAGCAGUGAGGAAUAUUGGUCAAUGGACGCAAGUCUGAACCAGCCACGUCCGCGUGAAGGAAGACGGCCCUACGGGUUGUAAACUUCUUUGCAAGGGAAUAAAGUGAGUCACGUGUGUACUUUUGCAAGUACCUUGCGAAUAAGGAUCGGCUAACUCCGUGCCAGCCGCAGC
rnacentral:rRNA from 1 species